CCUACGGGUGGCAGCAGUGAGGAAUAUUGGUCAAUGGGCGAGAGCCUGAACCAGCCAAGUCGCGUGAAGGAUGACUGUUCUAUGGAUUGUAAACCUCUUUUAUAAAGGAAUAAAAUGCGGGACGUGUGCCGUUUUGUAUGUACCUUAUGAAUAAGGAUCGGCUAACUCCGUGCCAGCAGCCGCGGUAAUACGGAGGAUCCGAGCGUUAUCCGGAUUUAUUGGGUUUAAAGGGAGCGUAGGCGGCGUUGUAAGUCAGUGGUGAAAGUUUGGGGCUCAACCAUAGAAUUGCAGUUGAAACUGGCAGUCUUGAGUAUGUUUGAGGCAGGCGGAAUGCGUGGUGUAGCGGUGAAAUGCUUAGAUAUCACGAAGAACCCCGAUUGCGAAGGCAGCUUGCCAAGCCAUGACUGACGCUGAUGCACGAAAGUGUGGGGAUCAAACAGGAUUAGAUACCCCUGUAGUC
rnacentral:rRNA from 1 species